GGCGCCAUAGCCAAGUGGUAAGGCAGAGGUCUGCAAAACCUGUACUCCCCAGUUCGAAUCUGGGUGGCGCCUCCA
rnacentral:tRNA from 1 species